GAUGAACGCUGGCGGCGUGCCUAAUACAUGCAAGUCGAGCGAACAGAUGAGGAGCUUGCUCCUCUGACGUUAGCGGCGGACGGGUGAGUAACACGUGGAUAACCUACCUAUAAGACUGGGAUAACUUCGGGAAACCGGAGCUAAUACCGGAUAAUAUAUUGAACCGCAUGGUUCAAUAGUGAAAGACGGUUUUGCUGUCACUUAUAGAUGGAUCCGCGCCGCAUUAGCGAGUUGGUAAGGUAACGGCUUACCAAGGCAACGAUGCGUAGCCGACCUGAGAGGGUGAUCGGCCACGCUGGAGCUGCGACCCGCUCCAGACUCCUACGGGAGGCAGCAGUAGGGAAUCUGCCGCAAGGGGCGAAAGCCUGACGGAGCAACGCCGCGUGAGUGAUGAAGGUCUUCGGAUCGAAAAACUCUGUUAUUAGGGAAGAACAAAUGUGUAAGUAACUAUGCACGUCUUGACGGUACCUAAUCAGAAAGCCACGGCUAACUACG
rnacentral:rRNA from 1 species